rnacentral:tRNA from 1 species
CGGGCGGGGAUCUCCAGUUGGGAAGACCAAAAAAGU